CAUUUUUUACCGGGGAGCCAUUAAAUUGGCUGAGAGGAUUGGGAUCGACCCGUGGAACCUGAUCCGGUCAGAACCGGCGGAGGGAGAUGGCUAUGGUUGUGU
rnacentral:ncRNA from 2 species